UUUUAAAUCAUAAAAGAUAGUAGAUUUUAUUCUCUACUUGACUCUUUUAAUGGAUUCUUUGUUCCGCUGCAGUUAAACUUGAUGGUUGUUAUAUUGUAUCAGUUUAACACUGUUGAAGGCUAACGAUAAUAUAUUAUGCAUUAUCUUAGUCAUAAUAUUUCCUACUGGGCUAGUUGAGCUCACCCUUUUACUUUUAUUGUUCUCUUCAGGAAAUGAGAACAUAGCAGGGACUAGUCGGGGAACGGAGUGACGGAC
rnacentral:lncRNA from 1 species